GGCCGCAGAAUUUUAACUGUGCAAAGGUAGCAUAAUCACUAGUUUUUUAAUUGAAAGCUUGAAUGAAUGGUUGGACGAAAUACUAGCUGUUUCACAUUAAAUAUUAGAAUUUUAUUUUUAGGUAAAAAAGCCUAAAUUUUUUUAAAAGACGAGAAGACCCUAUAGAUCUUUAUAGCUUGGCCAUUAUUUUUUAUUAAGAUUUUUUCUAUUAAUAGGGUCUAUGCUAUUUUGCUGGGGUGGCAGAUGAAUUUGUUUAACUUUUUUUAUGUUUUAUACAUUUAUUUAUGGUGUUAUUGAUCCUUUCUAAGAUUAAAAAUUUAAGUUACCUUAGGGAUAACAGCGUAAUCUUUUCGGAGAGUUCAUAUUGAUGAAAGGGGUUGCGACCUCGAUGUUGGAUUAA
rnacentral:rRNA from 1 species